rnacentral:rRNA from 1 species
GACGAACGCUGGCGGCGUGCUUAACACAUGCAAGUCGAACGGUGAAGCGCCUUCCUUUUUGGUGGGUGUGGAUGAGUGGCGAACGGGUGAGUAACACGUGAGUAACCUGCCCCCUUCUUCUGGAUAACCGCAUGAAAGUGUGGCUAAUACGGGAUAUUCUGGGUCUGUCGCAUGAUGGGUCUGGGAAAGAUAUUGUUUCGGUGGGGGAUGGGCUCGCGGCCUAUCAGCUUGUUGGUGGGGUGAUGGCCUACCAAGGCGGUGACGGGUAGCCGGCCGGAGAGGGCCGGCGGAGGCAGGGGGAAUGAGAGGCGGCAGGGAAUAGAAAGGGGGACAGCAGGGAGUAAUCUAGGACGAGGGAAGCGUGCCUGGUGCAGCGACGCGACGAGAGGGAUGGUGGUCUUAGCGUUGAGAAGGUGAUUUGCGAACGAGGAGAGCGUGCCUCGUAGGUGGGUGGUGUGACGGGAGCCGGGUGAAGAGAAACGGGUAAGUACGUG